AUGCUGUAAAAAUACAACCUUGAAAUGUUGAACUAGUCAUAUUGUUGUAAUCAAGCAGAACUUGGAGCUUCUCAGAUGGUAUCAUGGUUUUCCUAACCUCAAGAAGCAGCAAGGGUGCUUGAUUAGACAUACCAAUUUCCUUGGGAGGUUCAUGUCUGACUUUUUCAGGGGAAAUCAAGCCUUCAACCUAAAUUCUGAAGACAAGAGAAUGAAAAGAUUCCUUUUAUGGUGGCAAUGAUUCUCCAAUCUUGCAACUAAUUCAGAAAUAUACUUAGGCGUAAGUUCUAAUACUUUCUCAGCG
rnacentral:misc_RNA from 1 species